GACGAACGCUGGCGGCGUGCUUAACACAUGCAAGUCGAACGGAAAGGCCCUGCUUUUGUGGGGUGCUCGAGUGGCGAACGGGUGAGUAACACGUGAGUAACCUGCCCUUGACUUUGGGAUAACUUCAGGAAACUGGGGCUAAUACCGGAUAGGAGCUCCUGCUGCAUGGUGGGGGUUGGAAAGUUUCGGCGGUUGGGGAUGGACUCGCGGCUUAUCAGCUUGUUGGUGGGGUAGUGGCUUACCAAGGCUUUGACGGGUAGCCGGCCUGAGAGGGUGACCGGCCAAAUUGGGACUGGGAAACGGCCCAGACCCCCACGGGAGGCAGGAGUGGGGAAUAUUGCAAAAUGGGCGGAAGCCGGAUGCAGCAACGCCGGGUGGGGGAUGACGGCCUUCGGGUUGUAAACCGCUUUCGCCUGUGACGAAGGGUGGGUGACGGGAAUGGGUAAAGAAGCACCGGCUAACUACGU
rnacentral:rRNA from 1 species